rnacentral:rRNA from 1 species
GAGGAAGGUGGGGAUGACGUCAAGUCCUCAUGGCCCUUAUGGCUAGGGCCUCACACGUCAUACAAUGGUCGGAACAGAGGGAAGCGAAGCCGCGAGGUGAAGCCAAUCCCAGAAAACCGAUCGUAGUCCGGAUUGCAGUCUGCAACUCGACUGCAUGAAGUCGGAAUCGCUAGUAAUCGCGGAUCAGCAUGCCGCGGUGAAUACGUUCCCGGGUCUUGUACACACCGCCCGUCACACCAUGGGAGUGGGGUUCACCAGAAGACGUUUGCCCAACCGAAAGGAAGGCGGCGUCCACGGUGGGCUUCAUGACUGGGGUGAAGUCGUAA